UACAACUCUUAUCGAUAAGCCAUUGGAGGGCAAGUCUGGUGCCAGCAGCCGCGGUAAUUCCAGCUCCAAUAGCGUAUAUUAACGUUGUUGCAGUUAAAAAGCUCGUAGUUGAAGUGUGGGUGGUGCCAUCUGUGAAGCUUCGGCUUCUAGGAUACUCACUACCCCCUUCCAGUAUCCAGUAGUGGGUAUUCAGUUACUUACUAUUGUGUGUUGGUCCUUUACUGUGAGAAAAUUAGAGUGUUCAAAGCAGGCGUUUGCUUGAAUAGAUUAGCAUGGAAUAAUAAUUGAAGGCUUUCGUGUUCGAUUUGAUUGGUUUGUUCAUGGAAGCAAGGUUAAAAGGAACAGUUGGGGGUAUUCAUAUUCACUAGUUAGAGGUGAAAUUCUCGGAUUUAUGGAAGAUGAAC
rnacentral:rRNA from 1 species